GCAGAUGUAGCUCAGUUGGUUAGAGCGCGACCUUGCCAUGGUCGAGGCCCCGGGUUCGAGUCCCGGUAUCUGCUCCA
rnacentral:tRNA from 1 species